rnacentral:lncRNA from 1 species
CAACACAUUUCAUGAGAGCGAAUCAGGAUGGAGAGCUGUUUUAUUUUCCCAGAGUCCUUGGGAAAAAGACCCUGACAUAAUCACUCGCAGGUCCUGGAUAAAUGAACACAGAGAGUGCUUCAAGAAUGCAGAAAAGUUUGCUGAUCCCAGGCCAAAUCAAAGAGGAACAGGAAGGCGUGGGCUCCCAGCCCUUCCUGGAGAGUGAGGCUCUUUACAUAAAGCGCUGGGAAAACAACGACAGUCACGCGAGCCAGCGUUUACGGAGCAUCAUCUGGGCAUCCAGGGCUCACAGCAUAGCUCACUCAGUCCUCACAGCAACACGAUGGAGGAGUCAUUUUGUCAUCCUUGUUCCGUGAGGGGAAAUGGAGGGUAGGAGCUCAGGCAACGUGCUCAUGUCACACGGCCGUCGGUGGGGAGCCCGGACUCAAAUCCAGGCCUUGGGACUUUGCCACUGUGCUUCGCUGUCUCCAGAACAAGAAGAAGAAAUCUUUUCCAGAUGCCGUAUCUGAAGCUUGGGGGUCAAUGCACUUGCUCAGGGCUGCACCGUAUUCAGACAGAGAGCCAGGAUUCAAAUCCGGGUCUGUGCGAGCGGACGUGGUUCCCUCCAGGGAAGAGUGGAGCCAGUCUGGGGGCAAAGCAGUGCGAAUGGGGUGAUCCUCCCUUGAACGUUGUCCUGACAGUGUGUGGGGCCUGUGGCCCACAGGGGCCGUCCCACUCUGGGCUGGGCUGUUUGAGCCCCGACUUUGCUGCUGACUCUCUUUGACUUAGGAUAACCUCCUUCCCCUCUCUCGGCCUCAGUUUCCCCAUCUGCAAGACAAGGUGGCUGGAAUGAAUGGAUAGGUUUUCUGGACUUUUCAGCCACAAAGCCCAACUCAAGUCCUCUCCAGGCAGGGUGAACUGCAGACUUUCGUUUCGAGAACCCAGGCGUGCUCGGGACCGUUGUCGCCAGCGAUAGGAGAAGAUGCGAUCUUCUCUCUCCUCUCCCAGGACCUGGAAUGGAGUUGACAAGCACGAGUCACCCCUUCACCUACUGCCACAGUCAAGACAGCCGGACCAGGACGACUGCAAUAAGCCUUCUUGUCUGUUUGGGCUGCUCCCGCAGAAUACCAUAGACUGGGUGGCUUACAAACAACAAAUGCUUAUUUCCCACGUUCUAGAGGCUGGGAAGCCCAAGGUCAAGGCGCCAGCAGAUUUGGUGUCUGCUGAGAGCUGCCUCCUAGUUCACACAGAGCCAUCUUUUCACUGUGUCCUCUCGUGGUGGAGAGAGUGAGAAAGCUCCCUGGGGCUCUUUGAUAAAGGGCACUAAUCCACUCAUGAGGGCCCCACCCUUGUGACCUAAUCACCUCUCAAAGGCCCACCUCAAAUACUAUCAAACACGUUGGGCACUAGGUUUCAACAUAUGACUCUGGGGGGCUGCAAACAUUCAGUCUACAGCACUUCUCACGGGCACACACAGCACCUUCCAGCUACAAAUCAUUCUCACGUCUGUUCCCUCCUUCCAGCUCCCGUCGCUGAGAGGUUGGUGGUAACCCCGUUUUCAUGACUAGCUCAUCCAGUCUUUUCAGUGUGCUGGUAGAAACGGGGCCCUGUACGGGGAAGAAGAGGAGGACUGAUAGUUUUGGGUUUCCUUCUGUCAACAACGUGCUGGGCACUUUCAUGCACUGCCCGUGUCACGUUUAACCCCUGCAGCAACCACUGAUUCUCCUCGUUACAUAGAGGAUGACACAGAGUCUUGGAAACAUCAGGAAAGCUGUCUAAGGUCACGUAGCCUGGAAACAGUCUGCUCCCAAGUCCAGGUUCUUUCUUUCCCUUUCCCCACUCUCCAGGGAAGGGCCUGGCUCAAAGUCACUCAGCGAUUCCAUAAUCCUGCCGGGACACAAACCCAAAUCCCCCAAUAGCUUCCCUCGAGCAUGUUGGGAAUUGAGGAAAUAAUGCUUUCUCUUAAUCUUUGCAUCAGACUGAUGGGAUAGGGGUCAUUUCCUAUGGAGGUGUCACCUCCAUUUUGUAGAAGACAAACCCGGGGUUCAGAGAGUCGAUAUAGCUUGGCCAAAAUCUCAGCCAGUAAGGGGAAGACCUGGAAUUUGUACCCACGCGGUCCCUCUCCAAGCUCACUCCUAUACCAUGGGAGUGUCUGGUUUUUCUCCCUUUGGAAAGGAGUGUGCUGGUACCCGGGCAGUGGAGGGGUGCUGGGCCCAUGAGGUGGUGAAGACUCAUCUGUUUUAGAAUAACUCAGGUCUCUCUGGGGGCUGCCUCCACCACAGGUGGUCUCA